UGUUCGAUAUCUUUGAGAGCAGAGUAUUUUUGUCAAUUUAAUUUUUUUUUUUACAAAUGAUCAAAAGGAUAAACAAUAAAGACAAUUUUGCCAAUAUUAGUGGAGGGCACUGUAUAUAUAAUAUAUAUAAAGUUUAACAUAAUUUGGAAUGUUAAUCAUUAAAAAAAUAUAUUUAAUUUGAUCAUAUUAUUAUAUAUGAACAUAUAUGAACAGGUAACUGCAGAGAUGUAUUGCAUGGUUUGAAUUUUAUUUUUAUUUUUAAAUAGUUGUUUAUCUUUUGGUAAACACAUCUGAGGUGAUCAUGUGAUUUGGUUUUCAGAUUGGUUGACGGUAACAGCUUUAGUAGCCGGGGGUUGUGCGCUUGUUUUAGUGUCACUUCUGGUUCUGUGGAGGUGUUUCUCCAAAAGGAAAGGUAGCACCGCCAAAAUACAGCACGAUUCAGCUGAAAAAGCAGGAUCUUCGGAUCUGUACACAUCGGUAUACAUCAACGAGACUCCAUCAGCUCCUCGACCAGCAGCUCCACAGCAGAUCCCAAAAGAUGGAUGUUACUAUCUGGCUACACAUCCAGGAAUCCAGAACAGGUGUUAACACACAUGUCCGUUUAUACUUUCAGUCUCAUUCCUACACUUUUUAUUGACUUUUUUUUGUUUGGGUAGGCAGCUAGAUAGAUAGAAUGAAGGGGGGUUUCAUGAAAAAGAUUUCAUGAUUAAGGAUCUACUAAGAGAUUUUCUUUGCUCAGUUCAAAUGCUCAGUUAUAUAAAAAAAUUGGUAAUUGUAAGUCUGCCAAAUGCUGUAAAUGCUUGGUCUCUAUAGAAAAGAUAAGUAUAAACAAACUUGUAAACAAGGCACUUAGAUAUUUUUGAAGUGUGAAAAAAGUGGGGAGGUGGCAGUUAAAAUGUGCCAUGAAGUAGUUCUACUACUACUACUACUACUACUACUACUACUACUACUACUACUACUACUAAUAAUAAUAAUAAUAAUAAUAGUAACAGUAACAGCAGCAACACAGGUUACUACCGCUAACAUUACAAAUAAUAAUGGAGUCCUAUAUCAGAGCUGGCCUUCCUAAUCAGUUUGUUGAGUUUCUUCUUGGCCUUGGCACCAAUACCAUUUCCCCAGCACACAAUAGCGUACAGCAAUGUAGAAAAGUGCACUGACUACAACCGGCAGACAAUGUGAGAGAGGCCUUUAGAUGCUCAGAAGUUACCCUGGGUUCCCUUGUAACCUCACAGACUCUUGCACAUCUUACUCUUGGAGAGAUCUUUGUUUGUCUCCACUCCUGGAGAGGGGAACAACGGUCUUAAAUUUCCUCCAAUUGCACACAAUCUGUGUGACUGUGGAUGGGUGGAGUCCAAACUCUUUAGAGAUGGUUUAUAACCUUUUCCAGCCUGAUGAGCUUCAACAACUCUUUUUCUGAGGUCCUCAGAAAUCUCCUUUGUUCAUGACAUGAUACACUUUCACAAACAUGUGUUGUGAAGAUCAGACUCUGAUAGAUCCCUGUUCUUUAAAUAAAACAAGACGCUCACUCACUCACUCACACCUGAUCAUCAUCCCACUGACUGAAAACACCUGACUCUAAUCUCAAAACUUUCAAGCACCACUGAAUGAAUGUAUUGAAUUUUAUUUUGUUUUUCAAAUAGUUGUUUAUCUUUUAGCAAGCUUCAGUACUGAGCUAGAAUGCUAACCCGCUAACCUGCUUGGCCUGUUCUUAUCUCGUGGAUUAUUUGUUUUGUUAGACAUACUCAUGCUCACUGUUUAUUUUACGUUAGUGCUUGUGCAAUUUUCAGCUCUGACAGUAGUGCAGCUGCAACUCACAGGUUUAUAUUAAUGUGUUCGCUCUAAUACAGUCAUGUGAAAAAAUAAGUACACCCCAUGGAAAUUGUUGGCUUUUUUGACAUAUUUGGACAAGCAAACAUUUGAUCAUCUUUGAAUCAGUACCUGUUAAUAAAGUAGAUAUACUUGGGAUUUAAAACAUGUUUUACAUUUUUUCAUCUGUAGUGUUGUUCACCUGCAUUAAAGCCUGACAGAAUCCGCAACCCGUUUAAGUCUUAUCAUUACCUCUACAUUCAGGUAGCACCGCCAAAGUACACCACGAUUCAGCUGAAAAAGCAGGAUCUUCGGAUCUGUACACAUCGGUAUACAUCAACGAGACUCCAUCAGCUCCUCGACCAGUUGGCCACCCCAGCAACUCACAAAGCCGGCAACUAGCUUGACCUCAUCCUCACAUGUAACUCACACAAAAUUAUUACUUGUUACUCCUCUCCACACCUCUUACCAUUUCUUUAUCCAGUUUUCUAUUUCUCUCCCCUCACCCCCUCACAGUCUUCAACCUCUAUCUCUAUCUCAUUUUGUGGCAAUCUUCGCUCCCUUUCCCCACUCACAAUUCUCUUCCAUUGUCACAACCUCACUUCCCUCUGAUAGCCUCCUCUCCUCACUGUCCUUAAACACCACAAUUGACAUUCUAUGUUUCACUCUAACAUCUUCGUUUUCAGUGACACUGACUUAAUUUACCUUCAACACGUGCAUUUGUUAUGGUUUUUGGCCCUGUCUCUGCCCCUGUAUUGUCACUGUUUGUUUCCCGUAUGUGUCAUCAUUAGUCUCAGCUGUUUUGUGUUUCAGCCCGAUUAUGUUUAGUACUUAAACCCCUCGUGUCCCUUUGUACUUAGCGAGUAUUAGGUGAGUUUCCGUAUACCAGGCGUUUGUUUCUUGCUUCAUGUGUUAUUGUUUGAUCUUGUUCUCACCCUCAUUCAUGAUUCCUGUUUUGUCAAUUGCUUGACCCAUUGCCUGUUAUUUGACCAUGCUAUUGUCUCAUGAUUUGGAUUUGUCAGCCUGCCUCUCUUUAUUAAAAGCUCUUAUCUGCA